rnacentral:rRNA from 1 species
AGCGGCAUCGAGUGAKCGCAGUUUACUGAGUUCAUGUCGGCGAGCGGCGGACGGGUGAGUAAAGUCUGGGAAUCUGGCCGAAGGAGGGGGAUAACUGCUGGAAACGGCAGCUAAUACCGCAUGAAGUCGCGAGACCAAAGUGGGGGACCUUCGGGCCUCACGCCUUCGGAUGAGCCCAGAUGAGAUUAGCUGGUAGGUAAGGUAAAGGCUUACCUAGGCGACGAUCUCUAGCGGGUCUGAGAGGAUAGCCCGCCACACUGGAACUGAGACACGGUCCAGACUCCUACGGGAGGCAGCAGUGGGGAAUAUUGCACAAUGGGCGAAAGCCUGAUGCAGCCAUGCCACGUGUGUGAAGAAGGCCUUCGGGUUGUAAAGCACUUUCAGCGAGGAGGAAGCGAUAAAUGCGAAUACCAUUUAUUUUUGACGUUACUCGCAGAAGAAGCACCGGCUAACUCCGUGCCAGCAGCCGCGGUAAUACGGAGGGUGCGAGCGUUAAUCGGAAUAACUGGGCGUAAAGGGCAUGUAGGCGGUGAGUUAAGUCAGAUGUGAAAUCCCCGAGCUCAACUUUGGGAAUGGCAUUUGAAACUGGGUCGCUA